GGCCCAACUGAUUUAGUUUCAGGCCCUAAUGAAUUAAAAAUUUGGCCCACAUGCCUCUUCCAACCCAUCAGCCUCAUCACUCCCUCAUUUCCUUUUUCCCAAAUCAAUUUCUAAAUUCCCAACUCAUGGAACCCUAGUUCGAUCGGCGCUCCUCCCUCCUCGGCGGCGACACCACUAGUCGCUUCUCGCGUCCCUUCCAAGAACGCCUCCCCUCCGUUCCUCUCUAUCUCAUCCCCAUCUUCCCUCUUAGUUAGGCGGACUUCGAGUGGGGAUGACACAAUUUCGAGCAGAACCAAGCUCGACGUCGCCUCGCCCGUCGGCCACCACCAAUCCGGCCGAUACUCUCUCGGCUACCGCCGUUGUCUCCGGGUUCACCGCGGCCGGGACCCGCCGUUUCUUCGUCGCUGACCUUGCGCCGCCGGAGAAGGAGCAGAGGCAUCGCCUCGCCUUCUCCCUCCGUGGACACAACUUCACCUUGCCCUCGUGAAGCUUGUCGAAGCGGUUCUGCCGCUCCUUUACUGCUCUCGGUUAAAAGCUAAGCCCUAACCCCCCUCUUAUCCUCUACUGUUAAUAUCAACGUUUUGAUUGGACGAGCUUGGCUUCAGGCUUAGGUUAGGAUUUUCUGUCUUGCUGUUUGAAUGACCGUAGCAACAUCGGAAGGGUUUAAGUGUGGAAGUCGUGGCUUCAUUGUUUCAAUUUCUGGUGUUCUUACAUGUGUGGAUUCGUGGUUAACGGAUGUUGGGUGGUUUACUGUUACUAUUCGUGUACUAAGUAUGCGGCUCCUUAUGAACAUAUUUCUGUGAGAACUACCGGUGCUAUUGUAGCCUAGCAUGCUGUAAUUUCUAGCAUAAGAUGUUGUUAAAUGAUCAUGUGAUUGGUGUUUGAGUUUGAGAAAGAGAAAGGGUGUGGGGAUUACCUCUUGCACUCUUUCGAUUUUCUGCUCCUAGCCUCUGCUUCUCUCACUCUUUAGUUCACUAGUGUUUCAAUGGUUUGUGGUGGUGGAGGAGGCAAGGGCCGAGGGUUAUAUUCUAUAUAUACAGUAGGGUGUAACUGAAAGCUGCAGGGCUGUUAGUUUGAGCAGAGAUAAAAGUGUCCUUGGCUUGGUUUGUGCUAGCUGUCCCCUGCAGUAGUGCAGGGGUGUACUCGUGCAGUUAAUGUGGCUGCUGCAUUCUUGUAAUAUCAUGCCACUUUAACCGCAUUUGGCACCUUGUGGGGUUUAGUCUCAUAUGGCAGGUGCACAAGGAAUGGCAGGAGUUUGUCACUGAAUCCACGGCUGUGGCCGUUUGGAAGAGCUGCACAGCUGCCUUGUUGCACCUUUACUCAGUCUGAGAGAUGUUGGAGGCACAGCCCCUCAUCCUUGCCCAUUUCGGGGGUGGAAGAGAAGUAGGUGCUGCGGUGGGAGCCGGCUGAUGGAGGGCGCAUUUCGUUGCCUUUGGCCGACGGCCGAUCGAAGACACGGCGUGGCCGUGACUCGGCUCGAUAGGAUAGGCACAUGCUUGUUCCUUUUAAACACUAGUACAUCCAUAUUGAUAACUUAGACGCCUUGAUGUAUGUAAUAACUUGGCUAGAAAUAUGUUCUGAUUUCUCUUGUAUGAUUUCAAAAGUUUAACUUGUGAAGCAAUAAAGAGCGCAAUUUCUUUUUA